rnacentral:rRNA from 1 species
AUUGAACGCUGGCGGCAGGCCUAACACAUGCAAGUCGAGCGGAUGAGGGGAGCUUGCUCCUGGAUUCAGCGGCGGACGGGUGAGUAAUGCCUAGGAAUCUGCCUGGUAGUGGGGGAUAACGUCCGGAAACGGGCGCUAAUACCGCAUACGUCCUGAGGGAGAAAGUGGGUGAUCUUCGGACCUCACGCUAUCAGAUGAGCCUAGGUCGGAUUAGCUAGUUGGUGGGGUAAAGGCCUACCAAGGCGACGAUCCGUAACUGGUCUGAGAGGAUGAUCAGUCACACUGGAACUGAGACACGGUCCAGACUCCUACGGGAGGCAGCAGUGGGGAAUAUUGGACAAUGGGCGAAAGCCUGAUCCAGCCAUGCCGCGUGUGUGAAGAAGGUCUUCGGAUUGUAAAGCACUUUAAGUUGGGAGGAAGGGCAGUAAGUUAAUACCUUGCUGUUUUGACGUUACCAACAGAAUAAGCACCGGCUAACUUCGUG